UCCUCUGCUCUUAUUAAGUAGAAUUGUUUGCAUUCUUUUUGCAAUGUUUGCCCUUAAACUGAGCUCUACAGGCCCGUUGCCGGCUGCUUUUGAUGCCAACGGAAGCAAUUCCAGAGCCUCUUCUUUUGAAGAAAAGGUCUCGAUUGAACUAUGUUAUCAUACAGCAUUUUAAUUCUUUAUUUUCUUGCCUCCUUGUUUACAGCGCCUUGGGAGGAGGAGACGUCCCUGCCACCCUGCAGCUACAGACAGGGAGAGAGAAGGUUCUUCCUACAGUCCAGUGCACCUGUUGGGCAGAGCCAGCCAGGGUCAAGUCCGCGGCUGCUGGCCCUGGCCUCCGAGAGCGGUGUGGAAGCCGGGCUGCGACCCCAGUGCCCGGAUGGACACCCCUCUGCUUCCCUUUCCUCUGCAUGCAAACCUGCCCCCGUUUAUUUUUAACUUGUCAAAUUGUCUGGCAGGAGUAGGAAAGGAACCUGCUUUUGUUAACACCCCCCCAAAAGCAAUUGCAUAAGUGACGGGGCACAGAAAAGGCCUACUUUUGCUAGUCCGACUGUGACCACGAUUUCUCUCUGCCACGUCCCCUCCUUUCUGUUGCCCCCCCUUAUCGUGCCCAGACUUCCUUUACUCUGCGGUUGAGCUCAGCGGUGUCACGGCUGUCUGCCGGGCUUCCUGCACCCACCCUGGCAUCCAUCCUGGAAAUAGCGGAGGUUGGACCCAGUAAGAAGGGCGGGAAACCGGAGAAGAAUCGUCGUCAGCAAGGAAGACCAAAUUAUCCCCACGAGUGGGGACCACCGGGGUUCCAGGCAAGUAAAGACAACUCAGCUGCAGGUGGGAAGCGUAGAGAUUGACAUGGAAAAUCCACGCACGCUGACGGCUUCUGACCGGGAGGGAAAUGUUCCGAUUCUGUUUCACCGUAAGGUCUUCACGUUUUUGGAUGAUGUGUUUUGCAGAUUUUUUUCUUCUCUUAACGUCUAGUGAUUUGCAAGCACCGAAAUAAUACAGCAGGACCUUUUA